GUUUAGCAUUAAUUCAUCAGGAAUAGAAUAGUAUACUUUGUCUCAGGACAGAUGGUUGUAGUAGUGAAGAAGCAGGUUCUACUGUAUAUUCUCUGGUUUUCUGAUUGUUGCAUAAACUUUUUGAUUUUGACUGCAUUGGCAAGUGUCCCAGUCCUAAUCCAGAAGCAGCAAGUUCUCUGUGUGUAACUGUCAAUCCAGCACAGGUUGGGUCCAGUGAUUGUUUGGGUGUGUUUCCAGCACAGGUGUAAGCUAUAAGCUCCAGGUGAGAAGGAAAUAAUUCUCCAGCAGCAACACCUGUGGUAGGAGGUCCUGGCAACUGCAGAUUCAUUGCACCUGAAUUGUUGUGAAGCUUAGUGAAUUCAACAGUGUUAACUAAUGGUAAUCUCUGUGAUUAUAUAAUAGUAAUGGUGGUAGUGAUUUUUUCUUCAUAGUGGACAGGAAUUGCUUGAGAAGAAAGAGAUGGUUUCUAACCUGGUAUUCUUCUUCAUGUUUCAAGAAUCAGUGAACGCAAAAUCUUAAGUCUCAAGAUUUCUGCUUUUUUGAAGGUUUUUCUUGCCAGCCAAUGGAUUUCUUGUUUUGAGGGAGACUCUUCUUUAGCACAAAAGAUGCAUGUUCCCCUGUGGGGCAAUGGACUCGUACAGCGUCAUCAGAAAACUAAUCGGUUCAGAAUGAAAAAUUGCAAGUGAAUGACAGCAACAUCCAUCAGCCUUGCCCUGGAAAGAGAAGAGCUCUUAUCCGGAGCCUCAACAAUAAGUUGUGACAGUGUCAACUGUAUCUUUUACUUAGUUUAAAAGGUCACAACAGGAACUCAUGCUGGGAAGAAGCUGAGCAAAUUCAGAACAGAAAACAGUUAAAUGGGACUUAAACUUCAAGAAACUAGAAAGAUGUUUCACUCUUAAUUUCUUGACAGGUUCAAAUGAUCCUUGAUGCCUUACGGUGAUGCAUAUUAUAUCUAUAUAGUAUAGCUGGAGAAAUUAAGAGAGAUCAGAAAGACAGGCCCAGUUCUUUUUGAACUUGAACUCUGAGGUGUGAUGGACAUACAAGUUUUUAAUGUAUAGAAUUAGGAUUAUCAAGUUUUGUUGUGUAAGUUACAUAAAGCAUAUUUAAUUUUUCAUAGUGAGCUAAACAGCUGAUUGUAACCAAAGUAAAGCUAGAUACAUAAAAUAAAGAUGUGUAAUUAUUUUACUAUACAGAGAAGGUCAUACUCUAAACUCUACUUUUGCUUUUUUUUGUAAUGAUGUACAAUUUGUAGAGUUAGUCCCAAUUUACACGGGCAUGAGAUGUCUGAAAUUGCCAUUUUAAGAAAUAAAAGGCUGAGCGAUACUUUUAGUCUGCUGUGUAACAACAUCAAAUAUGGGUAUUACUCAGCUGCUUUUUUCACCUGUGAGAAGAAAUUUACAAAGCUAAUACCAUGAUUAGUAUUACUACCCAGAGCUGUUCUCUUUCCAGUGACAGUCAAUGACUCGGUCUGACUUUUUAAUUCACAAUUCUUCAAAGCAGCUCUGAAGACAGUUUUAUUGCCCUGUUUAAGAUUUCACUAAAGUGUCCAUGUCUGGAAGAGUGAUCAAUAAUACUAGCUGUUAAAGUGACCUUAUGGUGGCA